UUGCUUCUAUUCGGCUUAGUAUCAUUUCGGCGUAUCAUUUAUUUAUAUUAUAUUGGAAUUACUUACAAUGAAAAGGUUAGGAUCAUGUCAUCACUAGUAGUCCAAUAACAAUAGCAUAUAUUAUUCACAUGCUGAAACUAAGCACGUACGGAGUCUUCAGAUAAGGAGUAGCAUUCCAUUUACUUAGUAUAUGGCAUGUAGUAUGCCUGAAUUGAGCUUUGAAAUAGACUCUCCUAUUAUACCAGAGGAGUCUUACCCAACGCAAUGAACAAAAGAGAACCAACGUGUUGGAAAAGCGGAAAAGCUUUUGCCCUUAUAGUGUGCUGAGACUGUUCGAAGUUAAAUAUCGCCCAAGAUCUUAAUAGGAGAAAUGGAGUGCAAAGUGAGAUGAUAAGAAGUUGAUACUUCGCGGGGAGAUCCGGUUCUAGAGAUUAGUCUUCGACGAGGAACAGUCUAUCGAUCGCUAUUUGGUAGGUUCAAAAGUGCUGAUCUAUCACCCUCAGUAGAAUAGCUUAGCAAAUAUAGCAUAUCCUCAUAACCAAGAACCCUAAUUCAUCAAUUAAAUAAUAUUUAUUGUUUCUAUAUCUAUCUUCUUCGCUUGUUUGUGGUAAAUUUCCUUGUGAGGUGUUGAAGGAAUAAAAGAAGUGAACAAGGCUCCAUGGUCAACUCUUAUCUGAAUUUAGUUGAUCUAUGGUGUAUUAGAAUAAACUCCCAUAUCAUUUUAUAUACUUUUGUGCUCCGCCUCUAAGGGAGCGAGAGAAUUGGCAAAACAUAGUGUAAUCAUUUAUCAUUCUCACUCUGAAAUUCAGUUUAUAUCAGUUGACCUAUUUUCUCAAGUGGCAUAGAACAUGAUUUAUCCUCUCUAACGAGGAAUACGAAUAGAGUGACAGAAGCAUGGAUUAGAAACCGUCGAUUAAGAAGAAUGCACAUUUGGAUAAACUUUUCUUAAAACUGUAAUCAAAAUUCAAGGUAUUUUCCACCUAUAGUAUGGAAUAGGGGCUCCCCGUUAUGGAAAUUGCAUGAAAAUUUAGUGUUUAUUGAUCUGUUCCUCCAUGAUACUUUUCGUCAUUCAAAAUAUUUUAUUUUUGAUAAUUACUCACUGUUGUUGAGCUACAGAGUCAUUUCUAUUUGUUUAUCUUCAUUUUAGAUCUAAUUUCUUGAUUAUCCAUGUUACAGAUUGAAGAUAUGAACCUCGUACUUCAUUCUUUAACUCAUGUCUUAAAUUAUUUCCUCCUUUACUCAACUUAUUUAACUUUCUCUGCAAUCAAAUAUAUCAUUCAGUUUUUACUAUGUCUAUAAAUGACUUAAAGAGUGGCAUCGCCAGCCCCAAAAGUUUCUUCAGCACCCCCAAAAUGUUAUCAUAUAUAAAAUAAAACAAUUUAUAUAAGUAUUGUAUUAAGGUAUUGAUAAUUUUUGGAGCGAAGUCCCCCCAAAGGAUGAAAGUUAGGAACGCUCCUAAACUAAGGAUUUUGUGUUUGAUACAAUGUAUUGUGGAAAAUGAAUACUUAAGACUCUUCUUGAAUUUGUACAUGACUCGAGAGUAAUUAUACACAGAUUUGUCAAAACAUAUUCCAAAUACAGAAUGUGCUUUUCUUAAGCUUGUUCUUAAAAAAAAAAGUGUAGUAUGGUAUUGAAGGGAUGAAAGAAGAGAACAAGACUCGAUGUUCAACUCCGUAGACUAAAAAGAUCACUGACGUCUUUAACUCUUAGCUUAAUUUAGUUGUUCUAUGUUGUAUUAGAAUAAACUCCUAUAUCAUUUUAUAUACUCCGUGUGCACCGCCUCUAAGGGAUGUUACGUUCAAAGUGAGACCCCGUACUUCAUUCUUUAACAUUCGCAUUAUAUUAUAUCCUCCAAGACUAAACUCCUUUAACUUUAUCUUCAGUCAACUGUAUCAUUUAGUUUUUUCAUCUCGAUUAUUGACUUUGGAUUUGGUGAUUGAUACAAUAUGGUCGGAAAAUUAAUGCUUUGGACUCUUGUUGAAUUUGUUUAUAACUCGAGAAUAUUUAUACACAGACUCGUCAAAAGCAUAUUCUAAUACAGAACAAACUUCUUAAACUUGUUUUCUGAAAAAAGUGCU
rnacentral:lncRNA from 1 species